rnacentral:lncRNA from 1 species
AUCAUGGGAGAAACUGAGUCUCGUGGAAGAGGGACUGGAUUGUGCUGGGGAUGGACCUGAUGACCCUAUGGUGGUACUAGAUGAUACGGUAGAGGCACUAGAUUGUACUGUAGUUGUGCCGAGUGAUGCAGUUGGGGCACCGGGCCAUACUGUGGUGGUGCCGGAUGGUAUUGUGGAGGAGCAAGGUCAUACCAGGGUGGCUCAGGAUCCUCUUACUGCAGGGGUGGUUCAUAAUGUGGCAGCGAGGGAGGGUCAAGUAGCUUCCUCCUUUCUUCCCGGGCAUGCUGGGCAACGAUGAGUCUCUCUAGUAUUUUAAAUAGUCGAUGAAUAUCCUCUCGAAGCGAACCCUCCCGAGCUACUCGGUUUCGCAGGGGUCUUCCUCUCCUCAUCUAUUUGUACCUACAUUUCACAAG